AAACNUGAGAAACCCAAAAGAUCGAAUGGGGAGAUUCAUCGCCAACGUUAUUGGCUUCCGUGUGGUUCGCGAUGUGGCACAUUAUGUAGCAACACGCAGCCGCUGCGGUAUGUCCGGUAUCAUCGGCGUGCACUUCUCCCCUAGUAGGACGUCGCGACCCGUUGGGUGCUGGCCUACGGCCCGGUUGGUCGCCUGUCGCGCUUCACGUUCACGCGUGUGCGCGGCAGACCAUCGGUCGCCUGGCCGGCUGCCCGGCGGUAUAGAACGCAUUAAAACGGUAUUGGGCCGCACACAUCGUGCGUCCAGGCUCGUCGGCAGGCUCGCCUCGCUCGGAUUUACGGACCUAGUGCCGUUGCCGGGUGCUUGGUGUGGCCGUUAGUCGACGAUGUCCUCGGACCGGCUCUUUAAUAUUACCGGUCGGCGACGCUACUGCUUUGGGUACUUU
rnacentral:rRNA from 1 species